rnacentral:RNase_P_RNA from 1 species
CCAGCUGGCCGGGCGGCCGCACCCGCGAAGCCGAAAGGCUGCGGGUGAGGAAAGUCCGGGCUCCAUGGAGACACGGUGCCGGUUAAUGGCCGGCGGGGGCGACCCUAGGGAAAGUGCCACAGAAAGCAAACCGCCACGAUCCGUCGUGGUAAGGGUGAAAGGGUGGGGUAAGAGCCCACCGCGCGACUGGCAACAGGAGCGGCACGGUAAACCC